AUGGAUCCCAGAGCUAUAGUGGCGGGUAUAUGUCUGCUGCUAUUUAACAGCAUUGGGGCUAGAGGAGAAGGGCUUUCCUAUAAUUUCUAUGAGGCCUCAUGCCCACAAGCUGAGGACAUUGUCAGAGCUGCCCUCGGACCUAUCUUUCUCUCUGACCCGACUACUCCGGCAGCUUUGUUGAGGCUCAUGUUCCAUGAUUGCCAAGUUCAGGGAUGCGACGCUUCAAUUCUUGUGGAUUCUAGUGAGGCAUAUGCGUCUUCGGAGAUGGCUUCGGGGAGGAACUUUGGUGUCAGAAAGAGGGAGACAAUCGACAUUCUGAAAGCAUUGGUUGAAGCAGAAUGUCCUCAGCAGGUUUCUUGUGCUGACAUUCUUGUAAUGGCGGCACAGGAGGCGGUGCAUUUGUCAGGAGGGCCAGAAAUUAAGGUUCCUUUGGGAAGGAGAGACUCCAUUGUUGCUCCAAGCUCGAAACUUGCCGAUUCUUCGCUUCCUGCAGCGAAUAUUGGUGUUGAUGGCGCGCUUCAAGUAUUCUCGAAACAUGGGAUGACAGUCGAAGAAUCAGUCGCUAUUUUGGGUGCGCACACACUAGGAGUAACACACUGUUUGAAUGUCCUGAACCGCUUAAACGAAGCAGGAGAGGGGCAAACAAAAGGCGCGAUCACAGCUGGGUUUGAAGCAUUCUUAAGGCUAAACUGUCCUCAAGGGUCUUCAGCAUCAAACUUAACCUUUGUGCUAAAUGAUCCAACUGCAGCUGCAUUCGACAACCAUUACUACAAAAAUGCAUUUGGAGGCCACGGGGUGCUUCAAGUUGAUGCUGAAAUGGUGAUGGACCCGCGCACAGCUCCAGUGGUCCAACUAUUUGCUGAUAAUGAAGCUUAUUUCUUUGAAGCAUUUUCUUCUGCCUUCGUCAAGCUCUCUCGCUCUGGCGUUCUGACUGGGGAUCAAGGCGUUAAGAUCGAUGCACGUAAAAGUGAGAUCCAUGCCAGCGCAAUUCGUGAGCCUAUUGCCAAAGAUAGGGACUCUGAAGCAUGUCAGUGUUUUCUCAUUCGGAUUUGGGCUCGAUGCUGGGUUGGCCAUUUUUUAGGAAUAAUUGGGCUUCGGCUUUGUGAUUGGGCCUUGGGUUUAAUUAGUUCUAGUUUUCUAGUUUUAGUUUUUUGGAGAAUAUGUUCAGCAGAAGAAACUCCUAAUUUUGUGUUUGGGGAAUCUCUAGUUGAAGCCGGAAACUACAACUAUCUUGUGACACUCUCCAAGGCUAAUUAUCUUCCCCAUGGAAUCGAUCUUGGAAAGCCUACCGGGAGAUACACAAAUGGAAGAACCAUCAUUGACAUUAUAGGUCAGACUCUGGGUUUUAAGGGGUCCACUCCUCCUUACUUAGCUCCCACAACAUCUGGGCCAGUAAUUUUGACGGGUGUCAACUAUGCUUCAGGUGGAGGUGGAAUUCUUAAUGAAACAGGAAAAGUAUUUGUUGGUAGAAUAAACUUGGAUGCACAGAUAGAUAACUUCUCAAAUACCAGGGAAGACAUUAUGUCAACCAUUGGUGUUCCUGCAGCUCUAAAGCUACUUGAAGGAGCUCUCUUCUCAGUAACAAUUGGCUCGAAUGAUUUCCUCAAUAACUACUUGGCGCCAGUAAUUUCCGAGGCUGAGAGGAAGUUGAUACCUCCGGAAACCUUUGUUGGCAUCUUGAUUGCAAGACUCGGACUACAAAUUACAAGAGUCUACAAUUUGGGUGCCAGGAAGAUUGUUGUGGCUAAUGUAGGACCAAUUGGGUGUGUACCCUAUCAAAGGGACAUAAAUAAUGUUCCUGCUCCAGAUAACAGUGCUGAAUUUUCGAAUCAAUUAGCCCGGUCAUACAAUGCCAAGCUGAAAAUCCUUGUCGCCGCUCUAAACGAUCUUCCCGGAGCCAAAUUUGUGUAUGCAGAUGUUUAUAGUAUUGUAGAAGACAUCAUUGAGAACUACAUAUCAUAUGGUUUUGAGAAUGCAAACUCGGCAUGCUGCAGAGUAGCAGGGCGUUACGGGGGUCUAAUUCCAUGCGGUCCUCAGUUCUCAAUGGUUUGCGAGGAGCGGUCCUAAUAUGUGUUUUGGGAUGCUUACCAUCCUUCUGAUGCUUCUAAUAUUAUCAUAGCAAGGCGUCUCUUGUAUGGCGACUCCGACAAUGUUUCACCCAUGAAUGUUGUGCAACUCCUCCAAGCUCCUUGA